UGAGGAAUAUUGGUCAAUGGACGCAAGUCUGAACCAGCCAAGUAGCGUGCAGGAUGACGGCCCUAUGGGUUGUAAACUGCUCUUAUAUGGGGAUAAAGUGGGGAACGUGUUCCCUUUUGCAGGUACCACAUGAAUAAGGACGGGCUAAUUCCGUGCCAGCAGCCGCGGUAAUACGGAAGGUUCGGGCGUUAUCCGGAUUUAUUGGGUUUAAAGGGAGCGUAGGCCGUUUGGUAAGCGUGUUGUGAAAUGUAGGAGCUCAACGUCUAGAUUGCGGCGCGAACUGUCAGACUUGAGUGCGCACAACGUAGGUGGAAUUCAUGGUGUAGCGGUGACAUGCUUAGAUAUCAUGAAGAACUCCGAUUGCGAAGGCAGCUUACGGGAGCGCAACUGACGCUGAAGCUCGAAGGUGCGGGUAUCGAACAGG
rnacentral:rRNA from 1 species